UUUCCGCCGGAAGGAGAGGGGAUUUACUAGGAAGGUGGGACGUUGAAGGGGCUGUCGCGUGGAGUAAGUCGUGUCUCUGGCCACCCAGCAGAGCCAGUGACAGCAGCGUCCUGGUAGGCAGGCAGGCGUAUCAGGUUUCAGAGGAUGCGGCUGGGAACGGGAGUAGAGGUGAGGAGUCUUUGCAUCUGUCGCUGUAUCUUUUGGGGGUUCAGCGCCACCAGCGACCUGGGCCUCAUUCAUCGCGCUUACAUUUCUCCACCUCAUUUGAAGAACGAGCUUGGUAGCCCACGGAGCUGAGCUAUAUGAGCUCCCUGAAAGCACAAAGCAGUUAUUUCCAUCUUCGGAUCAUUGAGAGAUUAUGAAGGCACAAACCCUGCCUUCAAUUUGCUUAUAGUCAAGUGGAGCAGACACAAGUCAAUGAUUGCAGUAUAGCCACUUAAGUAAUCUAAAAGAGGUGGGGAGGCCACAGCUUAUGUGAAUGACUUUCUCAGGAGUUAUAAAGUGAUACAGACUUAUCAGCAGGUUGCAGGUGAACAUGGCCUUGAGGUAUAUACCUAGGAGUGAGUAAACACCUCAGAGUGGGAUCACUGGGUCAAAUGGGAUGGGGUUUCACCAUGUUGGCCAGGCUGGUCUCAAACUCCUGACUUCGUGAUCCACCCACCUCGGCCUCCCAAAGUGCUGGGAUUAGAGGCGUGAGCCACUGUGCCCGGGAGAAGUUGUGAUUUCAACCUACAUCAUGGCAAAUGGAAUUGUCCUGGCCAGAGCUGGUCCCCAGUGGCUGUACAAGCAAGAAAAACAUAUGGAAACACAGGUGAACCAAGGUUGGCUGGCAGAGAUCUGGAUCCUCAUAAGGAAACCUUACUCCUGAGACUCUAAGACUUGGGAACAUCGCUCUUGAAGUUCUCCCACUCUCCAAUGCUCCAAAACUCUUCACAUGGAAGAUAGUGGUAAAUAUCACUUCAGUAACACCUGCUGAGGCUGAGAUACCAUGACUAUGCAGGAUUAAGGCACACAAGGCACCAGCUCCACCAUGUCUUGGUCCAGGACACCUGGGACCACAAACAGGAUCAGGUCCACCCCUAGAUGGAGAGAAGGAUGAGUGGAGUAUCUCCUACCUGGGCUAGAAGCCUUCUACCUGGUCACUCAUGGAGAGUGACCACAGCAGUGUGGAAUCAUCCAUGGCCACUGUGGGAAUAUUUGUCCCUUGAAAACAGCCGAUGAUGAAAGAAGACACCAAGCAGAACAGCCUCAUAACCACGUACAGACAUCAGCUAUGAGAUCAUUCCUCUCCCGGGGGGCCCAGGCAGAGAUAUGGUAUUCUAGGGAUGGAGGUCCCUUGGAGAGCAUCUAAUUCAAUUUCCUGAUUUUAUUCAGCAGGUCAUGGAUGUUUAAAAAAAAUUCCUGAUUUUAGGAUGGCAAAACUGAGUUCUUGUGAGGAUAAAGGGCUUGCUUAUAGCCAAUUUUCUUUUACAAAAAUUUAUCUGGGCUACUCUGUAUUUAGCCCUGUGCUUGAAUCCAAGCUUUUCACCUGACACACAACCAGUCAGGUGAAGAGCUUGGAUUCAAACCCAGGCUUCCAUUAAAUCACACCAUCUACAGACAGAGGAGCAGUUCACUAAAAAUAAUGCUUACAUUCCCGUGUGCUACCCAAAGGGAAAUAGCCAGGAUUCUGUAUGACCAAUAAAUCAUCAUGAGAAAUUCUUUCAACCAGAAGCUGGAAUGUGAAACACCAAGUUGAACUGUCAGAAAGACACAAGCAAGAAGACUGGAAAACACUUAGUGCAAAUACAAAUAAGAACACAUGCUUUCAAGCUGGCACUUGCCCUUUGAACACACAACACAAACUGGUUUCAACACAAACUGGCUCAGUGUCAAAGUAGGAAUUUUGCAACACACCCUACAGUUAACAGUCACUUUUCCCCUCAACACCUAGACUCUUUCUUAACAGAAUCAGGAUUUGGGGAGAAAGGAAGGUUGACAAUAAGUUGCCAUUUUAUAAAUGGUGAAACUAAAGCUUAGAGAAGUAAUUAGUCAUAGUCCCUUAUGAAUGUCUUUGCUGGAUACCCUUUCCUCUAUGCCAUAGGGAAGCAGUUAAAUAAAAAAGAUGUUUGCCUAAGGCUUAUAUGGGAGGUGUAUCCCUGUGCAUUACUUAGAAAAGUCCCCCAAGAAUGUUUUUUUUUUCUUUUUUAGAGACAGGUUCUUGCUAUGUUGCCCAGACUGGUCUUGAACUCCUGGGCUCAUGCAAUCUGCCACCUCACUUGGCUUGUUUAUUAACCUUUUAUGGGUCAUGGGCAUAUCUACUGAAUCUACUGAAACCUGUGAAUUCUACUCCCAGAAGUGAUUCCAUAGGGCAGGAACAUAACUUUGCAUAUAAUUUUAGCUCAUCCAUGCAGCCCUUGGCAAUUCCUGAGCCAUAGCAGCAAAAGAAAACUUGCCUUAAAGUGUUACAGUGAUAACGAAAUGAUUCAAAUCAGCUUUGCAGACACUGUCCAAACCUGAAAACUUUCUAUAGGAGGAGGCUGUAUGCAUAACAAGUGAAAAGUAAUUACGAUGCUGUUUUUUAGUAUUUGAAUCAAUGCAUGAAGUUAUUAUUUGUCAGCAUGUACACGCAGAUUAAAUAAAAUGUAUUUACAAUGCAAUAGUAUAGCCAGAUGAUAUUCAACAUCUGUAUUUCCAAACUGUUCUAGCAAAUGAUUCUAACAAACAGGCCCCAGCACUACAGAUAUCCUAAAGACACAUUAUAAGAAUCACCAGCCCCUGUCUGCCUUCAUCAGAGCCUCUCACAUCCUGUCCCAACAUCAUGUUCAGUUAAUGCGAAUUCUUGCUUUAAGAAGGCAUGGAAAACAUUUACACUAUUUAUUGUAAUUUAAACAUCUGCAAUUUACCAUGAUAUCUCUUCCCACCUACAGGAAAGAUAUUGCAUUAAUAUUGCAGCAUUGAGUUUCUAAUAAUAUAAUUUGCAUUGGAAGAAUAUGACUACCCCAAAACUUGCCUGCUAAGUGUCCAUAAAUGCUUCCUUUAACUCAGAGGACCUGGAGUUCUGCUGGAAAAUUGAAUCCGUGUUCAGCAGGCUUUCCUUCCUGGUGACCUCUGCAUGCCCCACAGGCUACCCCUGCCUAUUUUACACCAGAGUUCUGCAAGUGGGGCAUCAAAGCUGCAUGGUAACACGAGCUGGCUACAGCCGCAAAUAGCAACAGGCCUGCCAUGAGUGAAGGUCCAAAUAUAGACCUGCUGUGGCUGAGUUGCCACUUCUUACUACUCAAGUGUCACCAGGAGAGGUCACAUGCUGUGCUCUGAGUUACUUCCUGUGCUGUGAGGGGUUUUAGACUUGUGGCUUUACCAUGGGUCUCAGAUGGCUGGCCAUGUGGAGAGGGCUGGGGACUGUCACGGCAAGCCCAGCAAGGAGAUUCCUUUUUUUUUUUUUUUUUUUUUUUGAGAUGGAGUCUCGCUCUGUUGCCCAGGCUGGAGUGCAAUGGCACGAUCUUGGCUCACUGCAAGCUCCGCCUCCCGGGUUCAAGCGAUUCUUCUGCCUCAGCCUCCUGAGUAGCUGGGAUUACAGGCGCCCGCCAUCAUGCCUGGCUAAUUUUUGUAUUUUUAGUAGAGACGGGCUUUCACCAUACUGGCCGGGCUGGUCUCAAACUCCUGACCUUGUGAUCCACCUGCUUCGGCCUCCAAAAGUGUUGGGAUUAUGGGGUGAGCCACCGCGCCCGGCCUGGAAGGAGAUUCUUGAGAGCCCUUGGGCUGUGCGCCUUCCACCAGGGCUUUCCUGGGGGCUUCUUCCAAAGUGUUCUGGGUAAGCACAGUUCUGGAGGCAAUCAAAUUCAACUUUAUUUUUUUCUCCCAAUAUUCCUUUAAACUGUACUCCAGGUGGGAAUUAUUCCCCUCUUUGGAUGAAAAUCCAGCAGACCCGAUGACUUUCUUCUCCCUCUUAGGUGACACAUAGUCCUAAAGUCACUUGAAGUCAGCAUCUCAAAUUCAGGAAUUGAAUGUCCAGUUCAAUACAUUAAUCAAAAAGCCAAACCUGGUUUAGCCAGUGUCAAAUCUUCUCCCUUUCCCAGAGUGGGCCUUUUUAGCAGGAAGCCUGCCCUGGAAAAGGACGCAUGGAGUUGGCCUCUCCUCCCCACAUUCCUCCCGGAGAUGCUGGUUUAGAAGCCAGGGCAGGAGGGCUGAAGCCAUAAGAUGGCUCCUAUUUGGGUAGACAUCACAGUGGGUACCGGCCUCAGGCUCUCUGGGCCUGGAGUAUGCGUAGCUCUGACUCUCUCUCAUGGGGACUCUCUGGGGAUUCCCACUGUAGGGCCAGGAUUCCCAUCACUUGAUUCCCCUUGCUUGAUUGAAGCUAUUCCCAUUGCAGGAGUUUGAGACCAGCCUUGGCAACAUGGGGAGACCCCUAUAUCCACAAAUAAAAAAAUUAGCUGGAAGUGUUGGUGCACGUGUGUAGUCCCAGCUGCUCGGGAGGCUGAGGAGGGAGGAUUGCUUGAGCCUGAGAGGUCAAGGCUGCAGUGAGCCCUGAUGACACCACUGGACUUCAGCCUGGUGACAGAGCAAGACCUGUCUCAAAAAUUAAAAAUAAUCAUGUGGCGCUAGGUACAGCAGUUCAUGCCCAUAGUCCCAGCUACUUCAGAGGCUAAGGCAGGAGGAUCUCUUGAGCCUAGUAGUUUGAGGCUGUAGUGAGCUGUGACUGCGUCACUGUACUCCAGUCUGGUGACAGAGACCCUGCCUCUUAAAAAACAUAAUAAUACUAAUGAUAAUGUGGAUGCCUGUUUUUUAAAUGUAGGAAAUGCCAUAAGAUAUUUUUAAGUGUGCUGUGCCUGUAAAGCUGAUUUGAGCCCUUUCAUAUCAUUGUACAGCUAACACUUUAAAGCAAGUUUUCUUUAGCUAUGGCUCAGGAAUUGCCAGGGGCUACAUGAAUGAGUUUCUAAAAUUAUAUGCAAAAUUAUGUUUGUGUCCUUAUGGAAUCACUUCCGGGAAGAGAACUCACAGGUUUCAAUAGAUUCUCAGAG